rnacentral:rRNA from 1 species
ACGCAUCGAAAGAUGUGCUAAUACCGCAUAUUCUCUAAGGAGGAAAGCAGGGGAUCGUAAGACCUUGUGCUUUUAGAGCGGCCGAUGCCUGAUUAGCUUGUUGGUGGGGUAAUGGCCUACCAAGGCGACGAUCAGUAGCUGGUCUGAGAGGACGACCAGCCACACUGGGACUGAGACACGGCCCAGACUCCUACGGGAGGCAGCAGUGGGGAAUUUUGGACAAUGGGCGAAAGCCUGAUCCAGCCAUGCCGCGUGAGUGAAGAAGGCCUUCGGGUUGUAAAGCUCUUUCGGUCGGGAAGAAAUAGUUGUGGCUAAUAUCUGCAACAAAUGACGGUACCGACAUAAGAAGCACCGGCUAACUACGUGCCAGCAGCCGCGGUAAUACGUAGGGUGCAAGCGUUAAUCGGAAUUAUUGGGCGUAAAGGGUGCGCANGUCGUUAUAUAAGUCAGAUGUGAAAUCCCUGGGCUUAACCUAGGAAUUGCGUUUGAAACUAUAUAACUAGAGUGUGACAGAGGGGAGUGGAAUUCCAUGUGUAGCANUGAAAUGCGUAGAGAUGUGGAAGAACACCGAUGGCGANNGCAGCUCCCUGGGUUAACACUGACGCUCAUGCACGAAAGCGUGGGGAGCAAACAGGAUUANAUACCCUGGUAGUCCACGCCCUAAACGAUGUCAACUA